UACGUAGGUGGCAAGCGUUGUCCGGAUUUACUGGGUGUAAAGGGCGUGCAGCCGGGAAGGCAAGUCAGAUGUGAAAUCCGUGGGCUUAACCCACGAACUGCAUUUGAAACUGCUUUUCUUGAGUAUCGGAGAGGUAAUCGGAAUUCCUUGUGUAGCGGUGAAAUGCGUAGAUAUAAGGAAGAACACCAGUGGCGAAGGCGGAUUACUGGACGACAACUGACGGUGAGGCGCGAAAGCGUGGGGAGCAAACAGG
rnacentral:rRNA from 1 species